rnacentral:rRNA from 1 species
UACGUAGGGUGCAAGCGUUGUCCGGAAUUAUUGGGCGUAAAGAGCUCGUAGGCGGUUCGUCGCGUCGGCUGUGAAAACCCGGAGCUCAACUCCGGGCCUGCAGUCGAUACGGGCGGACUUGAGUGUUGCAGGGGAGACUGGAAUUCCUGGUGUAGCGGUGAAAUGCGCAGAUAUCAGGAGGAACACCAGCGGCGAAGGCGGCGCUCUGGGCCGGUACUGACGCUGAGGAGCGAAAGCGUGGGUAGCAAACAGG